AUGAACGCUGGCGGCAUGCCUUACACAUGCAAGUCGAACGGCAGCGCGGGAGCAAUCCUGGCGGCGAGUGGCGAACGGGUGAGUAACAUAUCGGAACGUGCCCUGGAGUGGGGGAUAACUAGUCGAAAGAUUAGCUAAUACCGCAUACGAUCUACGGAUGAAAGUGGGGGAUCCGCAAGGACCUCAUGCUCGUGGAGCGGCCGAUAUCUGAUUAGCUAGUUGGUGGGGUAAAAGCCUACCAAGGCGACGAUCAGUAGCUGGUUUGAGAGAACGACCAGCCACACUGGGACUGAGACACGGCCCAGACUCCUACGGGAGGUUUGCAGUGGGGAAUUUUGGACAAUGGGGGCAACCCUGAUCCAGCAAUGCCGCGUGUGUGAAGAAGGCCUUCGGNUUGUAAAGCAUUUUUGUCAGG
rnacentral:rRNA from 1 species